GAUGAACGCUAGCUACAGGCUUAACACAUGCAAGUCGAGGGGAAACGACAUCGAAAGCUUGCUUUUGAUGGGCGUCGACCGGCGCACGGGUGAGUAACGCGUAUCCAACCUGCCCAUCACUUGGGAAUAACCUUGCGAAAGUAAGACUAAUACCCAAUGAUAUCCCACGAAGGCAUCGGAAUGGGAUUAAAGAUUUAUCGGUGAUGGAUGGGGAUGCGUCUGAUUAGCUUGUUGGCGGGGUAACGGCCCACCAAGGCAACGAUCAGUAGGGGUUCUGAGAGGAAGGUCCCCCACAUUGGAACUGAGACACGGUCCAAACUCCUACGGGAGGCAGCAGUGAGGAAUAUUGGUCAAUGGGCGAGAGCCUGAACCAGCCAAGUAGCGUGCAGGAAGACGGCCCUAUGGGUUGUAAACUGCUUUUAGAAGGGAAUAAAGUGGGUCACGUGUGACUUUUUGCAUGUACCUUAUGAAUAAGGACCGGCUAAUUCCGUG
rnacentral:rRNA from 1 species